rnacentral:rRNA from 1 species
UACAUGUGGGGCAAGCGUUGUUCGGAAUUACUGGGCAUAAAGGGUGCGUAGGCGGUUUGUUAAGUCACAGGUGAAAGUUUUUCGGCCCAACCGGAAAAAUUGCCUGCGAUACUGGCGAAACUCGAGUGCGUGAGGGGUAGGGGGAACGAGCAGUGUAGCGGUGAAAUGCGGUAGAUAUUGCUCGGAAGGCCGGAGCCGAAGGGGCCCUACUGGUACGUAACUGACGCUGAGGCACGAAAGCGUGGGAGCAAACAGGAUUAGAAACCGG